CGCUAUCACUCCUACGGGAGGCAGCAGUGGGGAAUCUUGGACAAUGGGCGCAAGCCUGAUCCAGCCAUGCCGCGUGAGUGAUGAAGGCCCUAGGGUCGUAAAGCUCUUUCGCCAGGGAUGAUAAUGACAGUACCUGGUAAAGAAACCCCCGGCUAACUCCGUGCCAGCAGCCGCGGUAAUACGGAGGGGGUUAGCGUUGUUCGGAAUUACUGGGCGUAAAGCGCGCGUAGGCGGACUGGAAAGUUGGGGUGAAAUCCCCGGGGCUCAACCCGGAACUGCCUCCAAAACUCCCAGUCUUGAGUUCGAGAGAGGUGAGUGGAAUUCCGAGUGUAGAGGUGAAAUUCGUAGAUAUUCGGAGGAACACCAGUGGCGAAGGCGGCUCACUGGCUCGAUACUGACGCUGAGGUGCGAAAGUGUGGGGAGCAAACAGGAUUAGAUACCCUGGUAG
rnacentral:rRNA from 1 species